GAUGAACGCUAGCUACAGGCUUAACACAUGCAAGUCGAGGGGCAGCAUGAACUUAGCUUGCUAAGUUUGAUGGCGACCGGCGCACGGGUGAGUAACACGUAUCCAACCUGCCGAUGACUCGGGGAUAGCCUUUCGAAAGAAAGAUUAAUACCCGAUGGCAUAGUUCUUCCGCAUGGUAGAACUAUUAAAGAAUUUCGGUCAUCGAUGGGGAUGCGUUCCAUUAGGUUGUUGGCGGGGUAACGGCCCACCAAGCCUUCGAUGGAUAGGGGUUCUGAGAGGAAGGUCCCCCACAUUGGAACUGAGACACGGUCCAAACUCCUACGGGAGGCAGCAGUGAGGAAUAUUGGUCAAUGGACGAGAGCCUGAACCAGCCAAGUAGCGUGAAGGAUGACUGCCCUAUGGGUUGUAAACUUCUUUUAUAUGGGAAUAAAGUUUUCCACGUGUGGAAUUUUGUAUGUACCAUAUGAAUAAGGAUCGGCUAACUCCGUGCCAGCAGCCGCGGUAAUACGGAGGAUCCGAGCGUUAUCCGGAUUUAUUGGGUUUAAAGGGAGCGUAGGCGGACGCUUAAGUCAGUUGUGAAAGUUUGCGGCUCAACCGUAAAAUUGCAGUUGAUACUGGAUAUCUUGAGUGCAGUUGAGGCAGGCGGAAUUCGUGGUGUAGCGGUGAAAUGCUUAGAUAUCACGAAGAACUCCGAUUGCGAAGGCAGCCUGCUAAGCUGCAACUGACAUUGAGGCUCGAAAGUGUGGGUAUCAAACAGGAUUAGAUACCCUGGUAGUCCACACGGUAAACGAUGAAUACUCGCUGUUUGCGAUAUACGGCAAGCGGCCAAGCGAAAGCGUUAAGUAUUCCACCUGGGGAGUACGCCGGCAACGGUGAAACUCAAAGGAAUUGACGGGGGCCCGCACAAGCGGAGGAACAUGUGGUUUAAUUCGAUGAUACGCGAGGAACCUUACCCGGGCUUAAAUUGCAGAUGAAUUACGGUGAAAGCCGUAAGCCGCAAGGCAUCUGUGAAGGUGCUGCAUGGUUGUCGUCAGCUCGUGCCGUGAGGUGUCGGCUUAAGUGCCAUAACGAGCGCAACCCUUGUUGUCAGUUACUAACAGGUUCUGCUGAGGACUCUGACAAGACUGCCAUCGUAAGAUGUGAGGAAGGUGGGGAUGACGUCAAAUCAGCACGGCCCUUACGUCCGGGGCUACACACGUGUUACAAUGGGGGGUACAGAGGGCCGCUACCACGCGAGUGGAUGCCAAUCCCCAAAACCUCUCUCAGUUCGGACUGGAGUCUGCAACCCGACUCCACGAAGCUGGAUUCGCUAGUAAUCGCGCAUCAGCCACGGCGCGGUGAAUACGUUCCCGGGCCUUGUACACACCGCCCGUCAAGCCAUGGGAGCCGGGGGUACCUGAAGUGCGUAACCGCGAGGAGCGCCCUAGGGUAAAACUGGUGACUGGGGCUA
rnacentral:rRNA from 1 species